rnacentral:rRNA from 1 species
GUCGAGCGAGCAAUUUUGACGGAAUACUUCGGUAGGAAGUCAGAAGCGCGAGCGGCGGAUGGGUGAGUAACACGUGGGCAACCUGCCCUUUAGCUUGGGAUACCACUUGGAAACAGGUGCUAAUACCAAAUAAGCAGCACGAGCGCAUGCUCAAGCUGAGAAAGGCGGCUUUCGAGCUGUCACUAAAGGAUGGGCCCGCGGUGCAUUAGCUAGUUGGUAAGGUAACGGCUUACCAAGGCGAUGAUGCAUAGCCGAGUUGAGAGACUGACCGGCCACAUUGGGACUGAGACACGGCCCAAACUCCUACGGGAGGCAGCAGUAGGGAAUCUUCCACAAUGGACGCAAGUCUGAUGGAGCAACGCCGCGUGAGUGAAGAAGGUUUUCGGAUCGUAAAGCUCUGUUGUUGGUGAAGAAGGACAAGGGUAGUAACUGAUUCUUGUUUGACGGUAAUCAACCAGAAAGUCACGGCUAACUACGUGCCAGCAGCCGCGGUAAUACGUAGGUGGCAAGCGUUGUCCGGAUUUAUUGGGCGUAAAGCGAACGCAGGCGGGAGAAUAAGUCAGCUGUGAAAGCCCCCAGCUUAACUGGGGAAGUGCAACUGAAACUAUUUUUCUUGAGUACAGAAGAGGAGAGUGGAACUCCAUGUGUAGCGGUGGAAUGCGUAGAUAUAUGGAAGAACACCAGUGGCGAAGGCGGCUCUCUGGUCUGUAACUGACGCUGAGGUUCGAAAGCAUGGGUAGCGAACAGGAU